GAAAAAAGUAAUGUACUCUAUGUUUUAUUUUGUAACAGAUGCACCAUUUUAGGGAAAUUUGGGUAUUUCGUGUUUAUGCAUGUGAGUCUUCAAAAUUCAUUGGCUGAACAUCUGGUACAUAAUUCUUAAGCAUAAUUAACCUAAUCAAGUAUCCUGUAAAGCAUGAGAUUAUUGACAAAGAUAAAAGAUGGGAUGUAGGCAGUGUA
rnacentral:misc_RNA from 1 species